GAAGAAAGCGGGAGGCGUGCUUAACACAUGCAAGUCGAACGGAAAGGCCCUGCUUUUGUGGGGUGCUCGAGUGGCGAACGGGUGAGUAACACGUGAGUAACCUGCCCUUGACUUUGGGAUAACUUCAGGAAACUGGGGCUAAUACCGGAUAGGAGCUCCUGCUGCAUGGUGGGGGUUGGAAAGUUUCGGCGGUUGGGGAUGGACUCGCGGCUUAUCAGCUUGUUGGUGGGGUAGUGGCUUACCAAGGCUUUGACGGGUAGCCGGCCGGAGAGGGUGACCGGCCAAUUGGGGCCGGGGACACGGCCCACACCCCAAGGGGGGGAAGCGGGGGGGAAUAUUGCAAAAGGGGGGAAAGCCUGAUGCACAAACCCCGGGGGGGGGAUGAGGGCCUUCGGGUUGAAAACCCCUUUCGCCGGGAACGAGCGGUGGGGGAGGGAAAUGGGGAAAAAACCACCGGCAAACUCCGG
rnacentral:rRNA from 1 species